AGUGAACGCUGGCGGUAGGCCUAACACAUGCCAGUCGAACGGCAGCACAGUAAGAGCUUGCUCUUACGGGUGGCGAGUGGCGGACGGGUGAGGAAUACAUCGGAAUCUACUUUUUCGUGGGGGAUAACGUAGGGAAACUUACGCUAAUACCGCAUACGACCUACGGGUGAAAGCAGGGGAUCUUCGGACCUUGCGCGAUUGAAUGAGCCGAUGUCGGAUUAGCUAGUUGGCGGGGUAAAGGCCCACCAAGGCGACGAUCCGUAGCUGGUCUGAGAGGAUGAUCAGCCACACUGGAACUGAGACACGGUUCAGACUCCUACGGGAGGCAGCAGUGGGGAAUAUUGGACAAUGGGCGCAAGCCUGAUCCAGCCAUACCGCGUGGGUGAAGAAGGCCUUCGGGUUGUAAAGCCCUUUUGUUGGGAAAGAAAAGCAGCAGGUUAAUACCCCGCUGUUCUGACGGUACCCAAAGAAUAAGCACCGGCUAACUUCGUG
rnacentral:rRNA from 1 species